GAUGAACGCUGGCGGCGUGCCUAAUACAUGCAAGUCGAGCGAACAGACGAGGAGCUUGCUCCUCUGACGUUAGCGGCGGACGGGUGAGUAACACGUGGAUAACCUACCUAUAAGACUGGGAUAACUUUGGGAAACCGGAGCUAAUACCGGAUAAUAUAUUGAACCGCAUGGUUCAAUAGUGAAAGACGGUUUUGCUGUCACUUAUAGGUGGAUCCGCGCCGCAUUAGCUAGUUGGUAAGGUAACGGCUUACCAAGGCGACGAUGCGUAGCCGACCUGAGAGGGUGAUCGGCCACACUGGAACUGAGACACGGUCCAGACUCCUACGGGAGGCAGCAGUAGGGAAUCUUCCGCAAUGGGCGAAAGCCUGACGGAGCAACGCCGCGUGAGUGAUGAAGGUCUUCGGAUCGUAAAACUCUGUUAUUAGGGAAGAACAAAUGUGUAAGUAACUAUGCACGUCUUGACGGUACCUAAUCAGAAAGCCACGGCUAACUACGUG
rnacentral:rRNA from 1 species